rnacentral:rRNA from 1 species
UACGUAGGGAGCAAGCGUUGUCCGGAAUCAUUGGGCGUAAAGCGCGCGUAGGUGGCCUCAUAAGUCCGCUGUGAAAGUCAAAGGCUCAACCUUUGAAAGCCGGUGGAUACUGUGAGGCUAGAGUACGGAAGAGGCGAGUGGAAUUCCUGGUGUAGCGGUGGAAUUCGUAGAUAUCGGGAGGAACACCAGUGGCGAAGGCGGCGACCUGGGCCAAUAUUGACGCUGAGGUGCGAAAGCGUGGGGAGCAAACAGG